CCAGACUCCUACGGGAGGCAGCAGUGGGGGAUAUUGCACAAUGGGGGGAACCCUGAUCCAGCGACGCCGCGUGAGUGAAGAAGUAUUUCGGUAUGUAAAGCUCUAUCAGCAGGGAAGAAAGAAAUGACGGUACCUGGCUAAGAAGCCCCGGCUAACUACGUGCCAGCAGCCGCGGUAAUACGUAGGGGGCAAGCGUUAUCCGGAUUUACUGGGCGUAAAGGGAGCGCAGGCGGCGCGCCAAGUCUGAUGUGAAACCCCGGGGCUCAACCCCGGGCAUGCAUUGGAAACUGGCGGGCUGGAGUGCCGGAGAGGUAAGCGGAAUUCCUAGUGUAGCGGUGAAAUGCGUAGAUAUCAGGAGGAACACCGGUGGCGAAGGCGGCCUGCUGGACUGCAACUGACGUUGAGGCCCGAAAGCGUGGGGAGCAAACAGGAUUAGAUACCCGCGUA
rnacentral:rRNA from 1 species